rnacentral:lncRNA from 1 species
UCUACUGUGUACAUAGAUGCAGGCCCAGAGGGACAGGACUUGGUUUAUCGUGUGGAGAAGAAUGGUGGGCUCGUUAAUGCAACCACUGGGCAGAAGACUGAUGUUUUGAUUCAAAUUCCCAAAGCCCCAAGGGAUGAUGCUGCCCAGAAAGUGAAAAAGAUGAGAAUUCAGGAGAUUGUUGACAACGACGACGACGACGACGACGACGAGAUGAUUGAGUGAAUUGCUCGUGUUUCAAGGGUUUGACAUGUUAAAUAACUUGUUUGCUUGAACAUGGGAGUUCAAGUUAGCAUGUAAUCAAGAGUGCUACCUCCUUAAUGUUUUCGAAUGGUGGAAUUGUCUUAAUUUUCUGAAACCUCUGCUUUAGAAUUUAAUCGUCACUUUUGUUACUUGGGAAUUUGGUGUGUAGAUAUUUUUUCAAGAUAAAUGUAUAUUUUUAAAUAAGCUUUUACUAUGCUUACAUUAUGGUUUUUUUUUUUCAAGUCUUUUUCAGUAUGAUAAUUUCUUGAUUGUGGAUUAGCUUUUAUAUGCUUUACGAGAUGUAUUUGAAAGGCUGAUUAAAAGAUCAAGAUGGUAGCAUUGUCAUUAUUGGACUAGAUGGUCCCUACAAGUACAAGAUUUGAGUGCCAUUAUUUUUAUUCUUUUGGAUUGAUUAUUCUUUUCCCUUUUGUGCUGGCAUGCAUGCUGAAGAGUUGAUUUCACUUGUCUUUUCUUAGUAUUUUAAUUUAAAAAUGGCCCCAUUAUUAUUUUUUAAACCCAGAAUUCAGAGAAAAAAAAAGUUAUUCUUUUACCUAUCUACAAUAUUAUUUAGAAUAGAUCGUCUAGAUUAAUCCUGUAUCCUGUUCUACGAGAUAAUCACUAAAGUCAUUGUCCUAGUAACUCUAUUAUAAUUUUUUUUAAAAUUUUUUUAAAUAUAAAAAAUGCUAGAAUGUGAAAGAUAUCUUAAAAAAAAAAUGUGUUCUCAAUUCAAUUUGAUCAACUCAUGGUUAUUUUGCGAUUUUUAACCCUUUCAUUUUAUCAUUUUAAUGAGUUUUCAUUAUAACUUGAUUUUAAUCCUUAUCUUGAUAACUUUUUUUUUUUCAUAAAAAAAUACGAAAAUAUAAAAAAUUCAAAGAAAAAUAUGUUCCGGACAUUUUGACUUCUUGAGCAUUUCACUAUUUUUAACAUUUUUAUUUAUUAUUUUCGAGUUAAUGAGUUUGCAAAAGUUGGGAUAUCAUAAAGAUAAAAAAACAAUCCUUUUUUUUCUUGAUGUCUGACAAAUAUGAGAAACUCUUCCCUUCAUCCCCUCAUGUUAUUUUGUCUCGGCUAAAUAAGCCAUAAAAACACUCAUUGACUUUCAAGUUUUUGCUUACAAAAUGAGUGAAAAAGGAUUCAUUUCAGUUUUUGGGCUUGUAAACUUGGUACAAACACGUGAAAAGAAAAAAAAAAUCCUUAUAUUUUUUUUUGCACAUCAUGCUAAGAAAUGUGACCUUAUAGUCUAUGUUUUUUGAAAAAACAAUCCAUAAAAUCAUAGCCUUUUCAUUUUAUUUUACAACUGCAAGAUCAAGCCAAAACAACACCAUUUUGCUCUUCAUUUAAGUUGGAAAAAAAACCCCUAAAGGCCCCUUUCAUGCUACAAAUUUUAUACAUUUUGCCAUGCCAAAUGUACUAUCUUUACACCAUGUUUAUUAUAGCAAAAGAUGCGAUAAAAUCCCAAAAAACUCCUUUCGAAGCCAUGGACCAUGAUGCAAAGAUGUGGCAAAAAAGCUUGGCUCAUAUUGUUGUAUGAAGAGAGAUGGACAUACGAGAUUCUUAUGGAGGAAUGAAAGACCAACAUUGAGUAUUGAAGGAGUCUCUAGGUAUUUCUUUGAGGACUAUAAAAAAAGAGUAAAUAGUGGGAAGAGAGGGAGAAAAAGAAAAAAAAGAAGCAAGCUAAAACAGUCAGAAAAGAGAUGGGAGAUGCUAAAAUAGAAACACAAAGAAAACAAUAAGUAAAAAAAAAAUAAAAAGAAAAAGGAAAAUAGGAUAUACAUGAAAUGAGGGUAGAUAUCAAUUGAAAGAGAGGGGAUUAAAAAAAGCCGAAAAAAAUGAAAAGACAUCAGUAUACAUAAAUUAUGGAGAUUCAACAUAAGAAACCUUGUAAAGGUUGUCAAGAAGACCUGCAAAAAAAAUAAAAAAUAAGGAAACAAUAAUAGAUAUACAUUACAACAAUAGAAACAUUCUUGCCAGGUUUUAGAGUAGUAAUUUUUCACCCUCACGACAGAAACAAUAACAAUACUUUUAUAAUAGCGACAACAACUUCAUCUUGGUAUGAGUUCACAUCCUCUUUGAUAAAUAUCUUUGUUUAUGUCUCUCUUGAAUGCUACAUGUUUGAAUGCACAACAAUUUUAAAUAUUAGGAGUUAAGAAUAACAAAGAAAGAAACUUCUCUUUAGAGUAUAUGGUGUCAAACAUGUGGUCUAAAUAUAAAGGUAAAGUUUUUUCUCUUUGUUUUUUUAUAAGAUCAACACUCGAGUGUGAGAAAUCUUUUAGAUUUUGUGUCAUCACAUGGUUUUUGAUGUGCUUUGGAUCUUGGUCUUGUUUUAUAAGAAGAGUAAUAGCUUUUGAAGUCACAACUCAUGCCUAGUUUGGUUGUAUAUGACAAGAGUGUCACUUUUCUUUUAGCUCAUAUACAUAAUUCAUAUAAUAAGUAAAUAAUAUGUGUAUUUUAAUUUUAAUUUUGUAUUUUUAAAUUAAGCUAAUCACAUGUUUAUUGAACUUAAACCCUCUAUUGAUUUGUUAUUAUCCUAUCUUCCUUACAUUUAUAUACUCAUAUUAGAAAUAAAAAAUAAAUCAAUGAUUUUUUGUUAUGUUGACGAUGUUUUGAUUAACUUUUUCAAUUGGUUAGGUUGACAUGUCUUCUAGUUUUACAUAUCAACGUGGAUGUAAUAUUUGAUUUUUAAACUUAAGUGAUAUCAGAAAUGCAUCGACGAGUUUUCCUCAAGAUUUAAUCAAGUUUUGUUUAUGCUUUUAAAAAAGAUAAUUUAACGAGUCAACACCUAUAUUUUUCACCUUUCAUCAUCACCAUCCAACAAUUCUAAUUAUACAUCUUUUUAAAUUCAUUUCAUAUCACCAUUAAAUAUAACUAACAAUUAAUAAGCAAAACCAUGAAUUUAAGUUACUAACUUAAUACUUGAGAUAAAUUUAAGUGCAUCUCCAAAUGUAAAUAUUAAGAUACAAUUCAUGAAAUUUAAAAGAGUUAUACAUACCAUCUCAAAACAUAUUACUUAACAUGCCUUUUUUUACAACCAUUACCUAGAACUAUUAAUAGAUAACCUAUCAGGCCCUGUUACUCUUGUCUGGAUUGAGAAGAACCUGAAGACAUAAUAUUUACAUCAUAGAAAGAAUAUUAUGCAAUGUUGGCUGAAACACACACAACAAGAGAGAUAUGCUUUUUUUUCAAAUCAUCAUGCAUUAAUUUAACACAAUUAAACAUACACAUAUGAUAUCCACAAUUCUCUCAAUUUCCACCAUUGUUGCGGUUCUUAGUAUCUUUUUUAUAUUAAGUUUUAUUUCAAUUCCUGGCAUAAUUUUUCAUAUGUUGCCAUCUAUUCUAAGUUUCAAACCCAAUUGAUCUAAAUAACAUUCAAUUUGCAUUUCCCUUAAAUUUCCUCAAGAAUCCGAAUUCAAAAUUCAAGAAUUUUAGUAUCAAUUCUAUUUGUCUUCAUUUAAGCUUGUAGAUUUAGGUUUAAAACUCCUUACUCAACAAUAAAAUGAACUUUGAAUGCUAACCAGUAAAAAAUAUUUCCACCCCUCUUCCUUCUCCCUCCCUCACCCCCUUCUCUCUCUCCCUCUCCCUCCCUAGGACUCUAUUUAUCUCACUUGUGUUUCUUUUGAUUCUUGUGGUUAAUAGGUUGAACCACUCAUCUCUCUAUUAUUUUAGCUUUAAACCUUGAAUUCUCACAAGUUUUUGGUGUAAAAAUUACAAGGAAGCAAGAAGUUCUCCAUUUUCUUUUCUUUUUAGUAGAAUUGGUAGUUUAAGAAAUGUGACCUUACAGUUUAUGUUUUAUUGAAAAAACAAUCCAUAAAAUCAUAGCCCUUUCAUCCUAUUUGACAACUACAAGAUCAAGCCAAAACAACACCAUUUUGUUCUUCGUUUAAGCUAGAAAAAAAAAACCCCACUAAAGGUCCCAUUUCAUGCUGCAAAUUUUAUACAUUUUGCCAUACCAAAUGUACUAUCUUUGCACUAUCUUUACUAUUGCAAAACACACUCCUUACACCUUUGAUUGAAGACAAAACAACAAUAAAAUAUACACCACGCAAAACAUGUAAAAACCCUAACCAUCACAAUUAUUUUAUAGAUGCAACAACACAACCCUUUUAUCCUAUUUUAUAGCCAUCAAACCAAGCAAUAAAAAACCCUUCUUAUAACCAGAUGCGAUAAAAUCUUAGAAAACUCCUUUCAAAGCCAUGAACCACGAUGCAAAGAUGUUACAAAAAAGCUUGGCUCAUAUUGUUGUAUAAAGAGAGAUGGACAUACAAGAUUUUUAUGGAGGAAUCAAAGACCAACAUUGAGUAUUAAAGGAGCCUCUAGGUAUUUUCUUGAUGACUAUAAAAAAAGAGUAAAUAGUGGGAAAAUAAAGAGAAAAAGAAUAAAGAAGCAAGCUAAUAAAACACAAAAAAACAAUAAGAAAAAACAAAAUGAAAAGAAAAGGAAAAAUAGGAUAUACAUGAAAUUAGGGUAGAUAGAUAUCAAUUAAAACAAAGGGGAUUAAAAAAAAUCUAAUAAAGAAAAAGAAAAAAAAGAGAGAAGACAUCAGUAUAUGUUCUUCUCGUUACAGAAGUUAUGGAGAUUCAACAUAAGAAAGCUUGCAAAGGUUGCCAAGAAGACCUGCAAAAAAAGAAAGGAAACAAUAAUAGAUAUACAUUACAACAAUAGAGACAUUCUUGCCAAGUUUUAGAGUAGCAAUUUUUCAUCCUCAUGACAUAAACAAAAACAAUACUUUCACAACAGGAACAACAACUUCAUCCAGGUAUGAGUUCAUAUCCUCUUUGAGAUAAAUAUAUUUGUUUAUGUCUCUCUUAAAUGCUACAUGUUUGAAUGCACCUCAAUUUUAAAUAUUAGAUGUUAAGAAUAACAAAGAAUGAAACUUUUCUUUAGAGCAUAUGGUGUCAAACAUGUGGUCUAAACAUGAAGGUAGAGUUCUCUCUCUAUUUUUUUAAUAAGUUCAAAACUCGAGUGUGAGAAAUCUUUUAGAUUUUAUGUCAUCACAUGGUUUUUGAUGUGCUUUGAAUCUUGGUCUUGUUUUAUAAGAAGAGUAAUAGCUUUUGAAGUCACAACUCAUGCCUAGUUCGGUCAUAUAUGAAUAGGGGUGAGCAUUUUUGGUUCGGUCCGGUUUUUACCAAAAAACUAACCAAAUUGAUUUAUUUAUUCAUUUUUAAAUCAAAACCAAAACCAAACCAAAACCGGUUCAAACCGACCAGUUUCGAUUCAGUUCAGUUAGGUUAAUUGAAAGGAAAAACUAGAAAAAAUCAAUUUCAUCUUGGCCAAGCAUAUCGAGCAGAUUUUCUGAAUCAGGAAGCUAGAAAGAACAAGAGUCAAACGAAAAUUUGAAAAAAAUAAUUCUCAUAACAUCCAUUACAGUAAUUGCAACAUGAGCAUACUAUGAAAAAUCAACAACCUUGUAAAUAAAUAUAGAAAAUGAAUACAUAAUAGAUCUACAGAAAUUAGAAAAAAAGUAAUCAGGGAAAAAAAUUAAGAGAUAAAGAUUGAAGAGAUGGGGGCUCUAGAGCUGUUGUUUAGUUAAUCCAUGAGCUUAGUCGACUAUACUUAAACAAAAGGAUAAAAAGAUUGAGAGAUGAAAGAUAAUGAUGGUUCGUUCACCAGAUCUACUUUGGGGGAGGAGGGGGGUUGUGCUUAAAGCUUUAAGGAAAGGUUGAGAGAGAUGAGAGAUGAAGAUGUUGAGUGGGGGUUGUGAGAAAGGUUGAGAGAUGAGAGAUGAAGAUGAGGGGCUAUGAUGGGGGGCUGUGAGAAAGGUUAAGGGAAGAGAGAUGAAGAUGGGAGGAGGGGUGUGCUAAGAGAUGAAGAUUGAGAAACAAGGGCGAGAAAGGUUGAGAGUGAAGAUGGGGGUGGGGGCUGUGUUGAGAGGUGAAGAUUGUGAAACAUGGGUGGUGGCUAGGGUUUAGAAAGGAGAAGGGGACAGCUGAAAAAUAGGUAUUUAUAGUACUAUUGAUUUUUUUUAUUUGAACCAGUUCGGUUCGGUUUGGUUUAUUCUGUUUCAGCCUUUUAAAACCAAAAUCGAACUGAAUCGGCUUGUUUUUUAAUUUUUAUAAUCGGUUUAAUCGGUUUUUUUUUACGAUUUGGUUUUUUCAGUUAUUUUUUUUUCUGGUUUUCUCGGUUUAAUCAGUUUUUUGGUUUUUUUGCUCACCCCUAUAUAUGACAAGAGUGUCACUUUUCUUUUAGUUCAUGUACAUAAUUCAUAUAACAAGUAAAUAGUAUGUGGAUUUUAAUUUUAAUUUUGUAUUUCUAAAUUAAGCUAAUCACAUGUUUAAUGAACUUAAACCCUCUGCUGAUUUGUUAUUGUCCUAUCUUCCUUACAUUUAUAUAUGCAUAUUAUAAAUGAAAAAUAAAUCAAUGAUUUUUUGUUAUGUUGAUGAUAUUUUGAUUAAUUUUUUUAAUUGGUUAGGUCGACAUGUCUUCUAGUUUUACAAAUCAACGUGUAUGUAAUAUUUGAUUUUUAAACUCAAGUGAGAUCAGAAAUGGAUCGACGAGUUUUCCUCAAGAUUUAAUCAAAUUUUGUUUAUGCUUUUAAAAAAGAUAGUUUGAUGAGUCUCCUAGUUUUAGGGAUCAACGUGGACCUUACAUUUAGUUUCUAAACUUAGAGUGUGUUUGAUAUUGUGGUAACUUUUGUGGUUGUGGUAGCUUUUGUGGUUCUGGUUUGAAAAAAAUUGUUUUUAUAAAAAAUAAUUUUAGUUGAAGUUGGUUUGGUUAAAACUAUGAUUGAAAUUGAGGUUGGAUAAAAAGUAGUUUAAUGUGUUUGGUUAAACAUGCUUUUCAAAUUAAGGUUAUAAAAUUGAAAUUGCGAUCAAAUUUCACAAAUGCUACAUUAUCAUGCGAUUUUCUUCUAAUUUAUAUAGUGUUAUUAAAUGAUACUAAACAAUAAUUUUUAAGUAAACAUAAUUUAAAAAAAAUAAAUUUUUUUAGGUUGGACACGGUUCAAUAAACAUUGUUCACAUAAAUAGCGGGGGUAUGUUCACAUGAACAGUAACCCUACAGUGCCAGGUGAAUCCACUUGGCAAUGUGCAGAUGAUUGCCACAUAAAUAUUCUUACUUGAGCUGAGAAGGAAGGAAGUAAAUAAGAAAUUGGGUUGGCCCUUUUUCCUUUCCCUUGGCAGUAGCGGGCAAAAGUGAAUUGAAAAACAACAAUUUUCUGCUUCAUAAAACCGGCGGUGAAAACUUAUUUUUUAGUGGGACCCAUCUUCAAAAUUUACGUUUCAAAUGGUUACUAAACAAUUAUUUUUUGUGGUUGGAACGGAACUCAGUUCCAACCACAAUACCAAACGGUCUCUUAAAUGAACUAGAAAAAUAUGUUGAUGAGUUUUUAUCAAGUUUUGUUUUUAAAGAUUUUAACAGUUAAGUUAAUGAGUCUCAUAGUUUUAAGGACCUACACAAGCCUAACCCUUUGUUUUUUUUUUUUUUUUUAACUUAAAAUGAGCUCAAAAUUAUGUCAACAAGUUUUCAUCAAGAUUUUUACAAGAUUUGUUUAAGCUUUUUAAAUGGUUAGGUCAUUGAGUUUGCAAGUUUUAGGGUCCAACCUAGACCUAACACAUGAUUUAAACUUAAAGUGCAUUUAAAAUUAUGUUGAAGAAUUUUUGACGAGUUUUUGAUAAGUUAUUAUCAAGUUUCAUUUAAUCCUUUUCAAAUGGUUAAGUCAAUAAGUCUUCUAAUUUUGGAGACUGAUGUAGGUUUAGUGAGAUGUAUUUCUUUACUAAAAAUAUAAAAAUUAAGUAAAACAAUUGUUAAGUUGCGAGACUCUUGAUUUAGGGUCUGGCGUUAACUCAAACAAAUGUCAAUCAAUAAUAAAGUAAUCACAAAUAAGCUUAGAUAUAAUUUGGACAAUAAAUGGCAUGCAUAAAACAACUUUAUGAGAAAAAAAUAUAAUGAAGAUAACCUUUCUCCAUAAAUGAUGUUGUAAGGGUGAUGUUUAUCUUCUUUUAAACAUUAUUAACUCUAUACUUAAAAUUUUGGAACCAGUGCAUAUUUUAGGAUUCUUAACUUUCCUAAAACAUAGGUGGAGACUCCAUUUUACAUAUUUUCCUUUACAUUUAAAGGUCUAAAUUAUAUCGGGUAGCGACAACAUGACAACUCUAUUAUGGACCCUAGGGUUAUGCCUAUAUGCCUGUGUUUUUUUUUUUUUUCACUUCCUUUAUUGUCAUUUAUUUUUUAGCAUUUAUUUUAUUUAUAUUGUCCAAUGUUAUUUAACUUUGUUUGAUUGAAUGUGCAUAUACAUUAUUUUUUAAGUUUUCACGCACUACAAAAACUAAUAAAAGCUUUGGACGUGAGCUCGUAUUUUUUAAGAUUAGUUAGGAAGACUUAAGUAGUGAGUAUGACUUAUAUCCAAUCAUGCUCAUUUGUACUUUUACUAAGAUUGGAACUCACUUUAUACAUGAAAAAAACAUAAGGUUAAGAGGUUGUGUUACUCUAUUAGUAAUUCAGAUAAUCUAGAAACCUAAAAAAUCUUUAGUGAUAAACGAGUUGAGCCAAAACUUUUAUAAGAUAGACAUUUGACAAGACAUAAAUCAUAUCAAGACAUCUCAUUUUUAUAGUGAUUAUGUUAACAUUGCUAUUUGUCUACCGAUCCUUACAAGAAGUGUGAGAUGUUGAGACUUGUUAUAACACCUCCAUUAUUAUAUAUUCAAGUUUCAAACUAAUUUCUUUAUAGAUCAAAUGAUUACUGUAAUUUUUCUUUUUUCUUCUUCAUAACCAUUUCUAGUUUAUUCUCAUAUUUGAAUAUUGUCUCUUAUUUUUACCAGAAUUUCGGCAGAGUUAUCCUAUAAAUCAAAAUAAUCCUAAUCUUUAUAUUCUUGAAAAUAAGCAAACAAUGACAACAUAUGAACUUGAUCCAAUCAUCUUGGAUCUCAAUUUGACAUCAUCACCUAUAAUUUUCACCUUUAAUCAUUGCCAUUCAACAAUUCCAAUUAUGCAUCCUUUUAAAUUCAUUUCAUAUCACCAUUAAAUAUAAUUAACAAUUAAUAAGCAAAACCAUGAAUUUAAGUUACUAACUUAAUACUUGAGAUAAAUUUAAGUGCAUCUCCAAAUGUAAAUAUUAAGAUACAAUUUAUGAAAUUUAAAAAAGUUAUACAUACUAUCUCAAAAUAUACUACUUAACUUGCUUUUUCUUACAACCAUUACCUAGAACUAUUAAUAAAUAACCUAUCAGGCCCUACUACUCCUUUCUUGAGUGAGAAGAACAUGAAAAUAUAAUAUUUACAUAAUAGAAAGAAUAUUAUGAAAUGUUUGCCGAAACACACACAACAAGAGUGAUAUGCCUUUUCUUUCAAAUCAUCAUUAAUAAAUCAUCAUGCAUUAAUUUAACACAAUUAAACAUACACAUAUGAAAAUCCACAAUUCUCUCAAUUUCCGCCAUUGUUGCUGGUUCUUAGUAUCUUUUUUAUAUUAAGUUUUAUUUCAAUUCCUGGCAUAAUUUUUCAUAUGUUGCCAUAUAUUCUAAGUUUCUAACCCAAUUGAUCUAAAUAACAUUCAAUUUGCAUUUCUCUCAAAUUUUCUCAAGAACCCUAAUUUAAAAUUCAAGAAUUUUAGUAUUAAUUCUAUUUGUCUUCAUUUAAGCUUGUAAUUUAAAUUUAAAACUCCUUACCCGACAAUAAAUUAACUUUGAAUGCUAACCAAUCAAAAAUGUUUCCACUCCUCUUCCUUCUCCCUCUAAUUUAUAAUGCCCCUCUCUCUAUGACUCUGUUUCUAUCACUUGAGUUUCUUUUGAUUCUUGUGGCUGAUAGGUUGAACCACUCAUUUCCUUAUUAUUUUAGCUUUGAACCUUGAAUUCUCCCAAGUUUUUGGUGUAAAAAUUGCAAGGAAGCAAGAAACUCUCCCUUUUCUUUUCUUUUCAGUGGAAUCAGUUGUUUAAGGAGAGGAAGGAGCUGAAAUUUCAAUUUUAUCCAUUUAUUUAUGAAAAUGUCAUUAAUAAGUCUAUAUUUUAAUUUUUUGUAUGACUUUCGACAUUAUUGUAUGAUAUUUAUGAAUUUUUAUUGCCCUAAAAUUCUAACAUAAGAUAUAAUAUUUUGUCAGGCAACUCCCCGUAAAAUUUUAACUUGAUAUGACUGUUGGAUUAAGAGUUGUUCAAUAGUAUAAAAGUAGUCGGUAGGUGAUUUUACAUAAAAAUCUGAAUUUUCUUGUGUCAUACUUGCAUGGAUCGAAUAAGUUAUACUGCUAAAUUCUUGAGACCACUUCAUUAUUCCAAAAUAUAGUUAUUUUACCUUUUCAUCAUUUAGUUCAUUUAUAGUCUUAUUAUUAUUUCACGGUAAUGUUAUCGAUUUUCAAUCGAGAUUUGCACCAAUAUUUUUUUUAAACCUGGGGGUUUACAUUUUCUCCUCCGAACAAAAAUUUCAUCCCUAAAUAUUUUUUAAUGCCUGAGUUCAAGAAUAGUUUUGGGUACUUUUUUCUCAUUUAAUAUUCCAUCUUCCAAAUUUCUUUUUUUUUUAAGAGUUUCUUUAUAAUACUUUUGACUAUUGAAAUUUUCUUGUUUCCAAGUUCCUUUUCCCCAUGAUCCAAAAUCCUUAUUGGUUUUAUUUACAAAGUCAAGUCUUCUUUUAUUUCUAAAGGAUCUUAAAGUAAAACUCUGGCAUGAUCUUGUGGUUUUACCUUAGUCUUUUUCAAUAAGGAUACAUGGAACACAUUGUCGCACCCAAAAAAAAAAAUCUAAUUGCGGGUUCGACUGGCGAAUUUUUUUUAUUUUUGAUUUGAUUCUUUGGAGUCGCUACCUAGUAUUUUGGUCACUAGGAACCCUAACUGGUCUCAGAGAUCGGGUACGGGGACUGGUUGCGUAAAGGGAAGGUAUUAGCACCCCAAAUACGCCCUACCUAAGGUAAGCUGCAUUGUUUUAUUGUCUGAUAAAAACUAAGGUAUUUUCGUGUUUUCCUAGUUGUUGGUCUGUCUAUGGUUCAAGAAAAAUCCUCCUCGGUAAGAAAGGCUUUAUCUUAUCGGGUAAAAUCCUAACCGUUCUAACGUCCAUACCAAAAUUUAUUAAUAAUAUUUAGGAAUACGUUUUACGUAUAAAUUCGUAAUCCCAAAUACUAAAAGAAAACAAAAAAAGAUUUUUUGAAUUUUUGAAAUAUUGGCCUAGUUCUCAUGGCUUAAAUAAACUGGUUAUUAAAGCCAAAAUGCAUGCUAAUACAUAUAUUGUUUUGGAAAUUUCCUUUGUUGUGUGAAAAUAUGAUGUUAUAAUAUUUAUAUAUAUAUAUUGGAGAGACUAGGCCGUAUUUUAAAACAAAAACAAUUUUUGGAAAAUAUUAUUUUUUAUGCUUUUGACGAAAAUCAGGGAUUUUAAUACUGAGCUUGUAUCCUUACGGUAUAAAAAUACAACCCAAUAUUAAUCUACUUUGAUAAAAAAUGCAGAAAAAUCAACAACAUUUUUAAGGACUUUUUAGAAAUUUUUUGAAAGCAAAAACAUUUUUUAUUCUGAAAAUCUUUGAUAUUUUGACGAAAACCGGGUAUUUUUAACACUGGUUUUGUAUCUUUACGGUAUAAAAAUACAAACCAAUAUUGAACCACUUUGACAAAAAUGCAGAAAAAAUCAACAAUAUUUUUUAGAUUUUUCAAAAUAUUUUUUUUUAAUUAUUAUAUUAUAUAUAUACAUAUAUACACCCAUAUAUUAUAACAUAUUAUAUAAUAUAUAAUAUAAAAACAAUUCGGGCUGGGCCGGCCCAAAUAAACGGGCCGGACUCAGCCCAACAAGGAAAGGUUGGGCCGAACUCGGCCCAGACUGGGUGGGGCCGGUCUCGGCCCAACAUGCCUCAUGCAUCUUCUGGUCUGGGCCGGACCCGGCCCAGAUCUAAAGGCUGGGCCAGAACCGGUCUGGCCCAGGAGAGAAAAAAUGAAACGGGGAGGGGAAUUAAUUUUCCCCUCCCGUCCUCCUGCAUGCAAUAGGAUUAUGCAUGCAGGAGGAAGACGCUGCUAAAACAAAUGCAGGGGGGAGAGGACGUUACCUGGCAUGAGGAGGCGGUCGCAGGUGGUGCUGUGGUGGCGUGGCUCGCCUACAGCGGCUCCGGGCGGUGCUGCGGCGGUUCGAACGACGGCGAGAAAGACUUCUCCGCUAUUCGUCUUUUCGUUUCGUUUUUUUUCUUUUCCUUUCGUCUGUUCAGGUAUUCCCUUUCUGCUUCUCCUUCUUCUCUCUUUUGUUUGUUUGGUUCUUUCUAGCUUUUCUCUCUUUCGUUCUCUCUCUCUCCUUCUCUCUCUUCCCUUUCGGUUUCUCUUUCUUUCUCCUCCCCCCUUCUCUCUUCGGUUUCUUCUGUAUUUAUAGGGGAAGGAAAGGUUGCUGGGCCCUUCAUUAGUGCGCAUGGGGAGCGGGUUUUGCGGGCGGCUGGUCGGCCACCAUCUGCAAGGCAAAGCACCGCCACCUUGCUUUCGGCGGGGCGAGUGACCGGUGGUCGGCCAUUGAGUUCGGUCGGUGGUCCAGUGUUUCGGGUUGGUCGGUGGGUCCAAGGAGAGAGAGGCGGGAAGAUUUUGAAGAAAAAAAACAUUUUUCUUCUCCCCUGCAACGAGUGCAGAGAGGAAGACGAAGGAGGAACAGUGCCGUUCAAAACGGCACCGUUCGGUCCCUUUUUUUUUUUUUUUAAUGUAUGAAACGACGUCGUUUUGGAUAAAACGCGCUGUUUCAUUUAAAAAAAAGGCGCCAUAAUAUGCUUUUGCAAAUCAGUCCUUAAUCAUUUCAAUUGCGUCCCUGCCAAUUCGGUCCCCGUCCUCUUGUUGGCCGCGUUUUUCACUUUGGUCCUUGACCUCUGAUUUAUGCAAUUAAGCCUUCAAUUGAUCAAUAAACUUUCAAUUUCUUCAAUUAGGCCCCUGAUCCAAAGCAAAACAGCCCCCUCUAUUUACCCGGUUUUUCCAAAUUGGUCCCUGGUUUCGGUUUUUCACAAUUAAACCCCUAAUUGGCCAUUAAACUUCAAUAUUUAUGCAAUUAAGCCCCUGAUUUGACCCAAUAAAUUCCUAAAAAAUAUAUUUUGGCCCCAGAACUUAAAUUUCUUCUAAUUAAAGCCCAAAUUGACUUAAAAAUCAAUUUUUCUUUCACUCAAAUCCUCUAUAAAUUCCAUUAAAAAUCCAAUUAAGUCCAUAAACCUCCAAAUUUGGACUUUUCUCCUCAAAAAUCAAUUUGUUUUUAUCCAACAGGGCUCUCAUCAUUCAAGAAUAUAUUAUCAAAAAUCCAUCUUUGUAUUUUUUAACCUCCUUGACCGAUUUUUCUGACCAUUUGCUGAACGCUUCUUCCUCCAGUUAUUUUUCUAAACUCCUUUGGCUAUUUAUUUUAUUUCAUUUAUUUGGGGACCCGAAAAUGGGUUACAACACACAUCAUGUAUCUUUACCAAAUUUUAGGGGAGUGUUAGCUUGUGGGCAAUUGGUUUUAUCCUUGUUUUGAUCUCAAAAGGCCCAAUAUACCUUGGAGUCAGCUUUCUUUUCAAUCAAAACUACAUAAUGUUCUUCUAAGGCACAACCUUGAGGACCUGUUUUAUAAUAACAAGUCUGAUGAUAUAAAUAUCAUUAAUUUAUGGUAAAUGUUCAUUUUAAAUGUAUGCAUAUCUCACAAUUCAAAGGAUUGAUUGAUGUGAGUAACUAUUGAAAGUGAAAGGACAAAAAAAGGGCCAAGCUUAAAAAAUAGAUGCUGGUUCAAUUCAAACUGGAACAUCAUUAAGUCAUUGGGUCAUAUCUAGAGCUGUAGAUCUUGGAUUUCAGCCUAAUUUAUAUGGAUAGAAAGCUAAGACAUAGACCUAAAACAUUCAUGAAGAGUCUAAGACUCAAUUUUGCCAUUUUGGAGUCCAAAUAUUAUCUUCACAAUAGAAGAUUGAAUCUGUACUGCAGCCUAGACAUUGUUCAGUGUUCAAUCCAUAUCUUGGGUUCUUAAGUCUAAAUAAACUCAUUCUUCUUUAGAUGGAAAGCUAAUACAGACUCCUACAACUUUCAUAACCACUUUGUCAAAUUCUGAUUGUGAAAAUAUCAUUUCAUCUAGAAAACAAAUCCAUACUUAAACCACCAAGUCAUUAGUUGGCCACUAAUUCAAUAGUUAAUUACCAAAUAAAUAGUUUUUUUGGCCUAUAAAAGGAGGCAUUUUCCAUUCAUUUAUGCAUCUUGAUUUUUAGAUCAAGAUCAUUUUCUUACUUUCUCUCUUUGUAAUGUUCAAGUUAUAUUGAUUUCUUGUUCAUGUUUUUCAUUUCCUUUACUAUAUUUAAUUAACUAUAUUCUUAUCUUAUUUAUUUCGUUGGUGUGUUCUUAAUGAACACACCAAACUUUAUCAAUCUUUAUUAGAUUUCCAAGAAACAAUCAAAAUUAAUCUCAAUUCGGACACAAUUUUCAAUUCACUUUGGAGCCAUCUCCAUCUUUUCUCUUCUUUUUCUUCUGAUUAUUUAGGGCUUUGAAUUGAGAGAGAGAGAGAGAGAGAGAGAGAGAGAGAGAUGUUGAAAAGUUUUGGAGCCCGAAGACGCCGUGGCUUUUGCACUCCAAAACGAAAGCAUUUUUACUUUGGUUGACAACAUGGUGUCUGUGAAUAUUAUGAAAACAUCCAAUGAAGCCAAAAGAAGUUUAAUGUGAACCAUUGUAUUAUUUAAGUGCAACUAUGAUGUAUUUUAAGUGUGGUUGUGAUUGUUUUUUAAAGUGUUUUUUUGUUUGAAAAGAUAUUAAAAUAAUAUAUUUUUUUUAUUUUUUAAAAUUAUUUUUUGUUUUAGCGCAUUAAAAUAAUUAGGAAACACAAAAAAAAUAAUAUUAAUUUGAAGUAAAUAAAAAAAUACAAAAAAUUCAAUUUUUUUAAAAGCGUUUAUGAAAUGCUAAAACUAAUGGUUAGAUUUUCUAAGUAAUUCUAUUUGUUCAGAAAUAUUAGUUCCAAUUGAUUUUAGAAGAGUAAAUUAAUGUUUAAUCCAUGAAAUAAUUAGUUAACCAUUCUUUUUAAGAAUCUAACAUUAAGUUCCUAUAUAAUAAUAUCUGAUUGUAAUUUAACUUGAUAUUUUUAUUGGUUUUUCAUUACAAAUAUUUUUUUUUCUUAUAACAUCUUUCAUUUUUUAUAUCAUCACAUGCACUAGAUAGAGUGGUGAAGUUAUCUCCUAAAAUUAAAAAGAAAAUUUUAGAUUUAAUUAUAAAAUUAUAAUUAUAAAGUUUAGAAGUUGCUACGUAAAUUAUGAUUAUUAUGAAAAUAAAUGGUUUGCAAGAAUUUGGGUAGGGAGAUUAACUAUGUAAGAAAAAAACGUAUCACCCUCGGUACAUCAUACCUAAGUUGAUCCAAGUUGAUUGAUUAUUUUUCUAGAUCAUAUUUCUAUCCGUUGAUCUUAUUUUAAUUUUUUCUAAUGAAAUUUAUUAUUUUAAUUUAAUAUAUAUUAUAAAUUUGUUUAAGAUAGUGAAAUGUUAGAAAAGGAGCGUGGGGCACAAUUUCUUAAUCAAGAAAUUUGAAAGAGUAUUUUGUUCUAGGUUAAUUGAGGAGAUUCUAUUAUUUGAUUUUUUUUUACUCACCGAUUUAAUUAUUUAUUCAUUCUUUUAUUAUUGUCUAUAAUAUAAACUACAUGACUUUUUUAUUGUAGAUCUUUCUCCUCUUUACCUUCUCAUAAUUAACUUUUGAUUGUAAUAUUGUUUUUAAUUUUAUAUAUAAUUGAACCUUUUUAGCACUUAAUAAUAUAUUUUUUUUAGAGAAAAUGUUGGCUUAAAGGCAUAAAAUUGAAGUAAAAAACUCGAGUAAUAUAGAUGGUUUUUUAGAAUUUAUUUGAAAAGUAUAUUUUAGACCCUUAAUCUUUUUAAUCCAUUAGUUGAUCGGUGAUUUUAAUUUUAAAAAAAUUAAUUUAAUAUCAAAUUUUAUUUUUAUUAUUUUUCAGUAUUUUUUAGGUACGAGGAGAAAGAAAGAGUCUUAUUGGAUUCUGGUUUAAAGAGAAAAAUUUAUCGUUGCAAUGAUUUUAAUUACUAAAAUAAUUGAUUUUUGUAUCAAACAGUUUCAUAUAAUGAAAAAUGUUUUAAUUGGAUGUCUUUUGAACCUUGAAAGUGCAUGAAAAAAGUGGUAUGAGCUUAAGAAGAUUUUUUUUGUUGAUUUUGGGUUUUAAAACAGUUUGUUUCAUUUUUUAAGGUUAUGACUUUGUUUAACAAGGUUUAUAGAGUGUUAUUUUAGGUUAAAAAUAUGUUAAAAAUGAGUUUUUGGAAGAAAAUAACCAACAAUUCUAUUUUCCAGCCACCAUAAUAACCAAAAUUUGAAGAUUUUAGAUGAAGUAUCAUAUAUUUUUUGUUAAAGAAUGGAGCCGAUAAUGUGUUGCCCUCCCCAUUAAUUUUAGAAAAAAAAAGUCAAGAAUCACGUGAGAGAAAACUUUCUUUGUGAGCUAGGUGCUAAGCUUGGCUUACUAGGCCCAGAGUACCCGGCCGCAUCCUUUUUUUUUAGAAAUAAAUUACAACUUGUUAUAUGUAUAUUUUAAAAAAAUAUUUUAAUUUAUAUUUUGAUUAAUUCCUCUUCUACGUGCUUUUUUAGACUUUUUAAAAUAAAAAUUAUUUUUUAUUAUACUAAGCGUGUAUAAUUUUUUAUGAGGUUAGUGUGAUUCGUCUAUAAUUUUGUUUUUAUAUAAAUUAACUUUAUAUUGAAAAUUAAAAACAUAUAUAUUUUUUACAAUAUUUUUAAUAUGCACAACAUUGCAUAAUUUUUUUAUUCAAUAAAUUUUAUGUGUGUCUUGAUUUAUAUUACAAAUCAAUUUUUAUAAAUAAAUUCACUAAACAUAAUCAAGUAAAUGACAGGUAUCAAAUGACGUAUAUUACGAUAUUAAACCCUAUUUUUUUUUUGUUUCAAAAAUAUUUUUGAAAAAUUUUAAAUUUUUUUAUUUAUUUAAAAUAAAUAUAUUUUGGUGUUUUUAAUCAUUUUUAUGCGUCGACAUCAAAAAUAAUUUUUUAAAAAUAAAAAAAAUAUUAUUUUAAUAGUUUUUUAAAUAAAAAAUACUUUGAUAAACAAUUACAACUAAAUUUUAAAAUAAAAUAUAAAUAUAUUGGCCACCAUCUAUCUUUUAAUUUUUUAAUUUAUUUUAUUUACAUAAAUUAUUAAUUUGUUUAAUUAAAUACACUUUUACUUUAUAUUUUUAAUUGUUUUAGAAAAUAACCUGGUCAGAGUUUUUUUUUUUUUUUUUUAAAGAUAAGCUUACGACUAGUUAUUACUGCUAGGGACAAGACGGGAGGUGAGAGGUGUGAGAGCAUGCGAGCAUAUGUUUUUCCAUACCUAUCUAGUAGUUUCUAGUGCCUCGUAUCUACUGGUUCCAGAUGUCUCUCUUCUCUUCAAAACACACCUCAAUCCCAUCGUUUUCGCUUCAUUCCAAGCAGAAAAAAAAAGAAGGACCAAACUCAACUCGGAAACAGAUUCAACAAUCGAAGAUCCAGCUCUAGUUUUAGGGCAAGGAGCUAGUUGAAAGAAAGACAUCCGUUUCGUUAACUGAUCAGGUAAGCAGAAAUUAGAAUUACACUUUCCUUCUCCUUAAUCUCGUUUUCUAGUUUUAGCGUUUUUUCUGUUCUGUGCUUUUCGCAUUCCGAACGGCGACAGCAACGCUUUUUUAUUUUCUUUUAUUCUUAUUGCAAGUAUACCUGCUAGUGGCUAGUAGUUGUAAUACAACUAUAUUGUAUUCUUGGAAAAAUCUUACAUGGCUGUCGUGUUUAUCUCUCAUGAUCAGUUCCAAAACCGUUGUAGUUGGUUUCCUUCGCUUGAAGAAAGGACUUUGAAGUUAAAGAAUCAAUGGAUCCUGGAAAGUUCACACACAAGACCAACGAGGCCCUUGCAACAGCUCACGAAUUGGCAGUGGGUGCUGGUCAUGCCCAGAUAACCCCAUUACAUCUUGCUGUGGCCCUUAUUUCAGACCCUAGUGGAAUCUUGAGACAAGCGGUUGCCAAUGCCGGUGAUGGUGAGAAUACUGCCCAGGCAGCAGAAAGAGUUUUCAAUAAAGUCCUGAAGAAACUCCCGUCUCAGUCUCCACCUCCUGAUGAAGUUCCGCCCAGCACUAGUCUUAUUAAGGCGAUAAGGCGUUCUCAAGCGUUACAAAAAUCACGCGGGGACUCCUAUUUAGCUGUUGAUCAGAUGAUCUUAGGCCUUCUCGAGGACUCCCAAAUAAGAGAUUUGUUGAAAGAAGUCGGAGUUUCCGCUUCCACAGUGAAAUCUGAGGUAGAGAAACUCCGAGGAAAGGAAGGGAAGAAGGUGGAGAAUGCUUCUGGGGAUACUAAUUUUCAGGCAUUGAAGACUUAUGGGAGAGAUCUUGUGGAAGAUGCGGGAAAGCUUGAUCCUGUUAUUGGAAGAGAUGAGGAGAUCAGGAGGGUUGUCAGGAUUCUGUCACGGAGAACGAAGAACAACCCUGUCCUUAUUGGAGAGCCAGGAGUUGGAAAAACUGCAGUUGCUGAAGGUUUGGCCCUAAGGAUUGUGAGAGGGGAUGUUCCAAGUAAUCUUGCUGAUGUCAGGCUCAUUGCCUUGGAUAUGGGUGCCCUUGUUGCUGGCGCAAAAUAUAGAGGGGAAUUUGAGGAGAGGUUAAAGGCCGUGUUGAAAGAAGUGGAGGAAGCUGAGGGGAAGGUGAUUCUGUUUAUUGAUGAGAUUCAUCUUGUUCUAGGUGCGGGUCGAACAGAGGGGUCCAUGGAUGCCGCCAACCUUUUUAAGCCAAUGCUUGCAAGAGGUCAGCUCAGGUGCAUUGGUGCCACAACCCUGGAAGAGUACAGGAAGUAUGUGGAGAAAGAUGCUGCGUUUGAGAGGAGGUUCCAACAAGUCUAUGUGGCUGAGCCCAGUGUUCCAGAUACAAUAAGCAUUCUUCGAGGAUUGAAAGAGAAGUAUGAGGGUCAUCAUGGUGUUCGAAUUCAGGACAGAGCCCUUGUGGUUGCAGCUCAAUUAUCAAGUCGAUAUAUUACAGGUACGUUUUAACAGUUCAAUUCCACUUACAGUUUUUAAUAUGCACCAGUAAUUUUGGAAUUGGUGAUUUUUAUUGAAGGGUAGUAUAUUUUCAUGCAUAAUUGGGAUCAUUUGGCGGGAUAAUAAAUGCUGGUCUUUUCGGUUGAUGUGUUUAGGUCGUCAUCUGCCUGAUAAGGCAAUUGAUUUAGUCGAUGAAGCUUGUGCGAAUGUGAGAGUCCAACUUGAUAGCCAGCCUGAAGAAAUUGAUAGCCUUGAAAGGAAGAGAAUGCAACUAGAAGUUGAACUUCAUGCUCUUGAGAAGGAGAAGGAUAAAGCUAGCAAAGCUCGACUGGCUGAAGUAAGAAUCGCACCAUAAAAGAAGAUCUGGAAAUCAAUUAUGUAUGCUUUAUAUCUCUCUCAUGGUAAAUCUGACAAUAUUGAUGCUUUUUCAGGUUGUAAAAGAACUUGACGACUUGAGAGACAAGCUUCAGCCCUUGCUGAUGAAAUACAAAAAGGAGAAAGAAAGGAUUGAUGAGAUCAGGCGGCUCAAGCAGAAGAGAGAGGAGAUACAUUUCUCCAUACAAGAGGCUGAAAGAAGAUAUGAUUUGGCCAGAGUUGCUGAUUUGCGCUACGGGGCGCUGGAGGAAGUGGAAGCUGCCAUAGUACGUCUUGAAGGAUCAACCACUGACGAGAACUUGAUGCUGACUGAAACUGUCGGACCAGAACAAAUUGCAGAAGUAGUGAGUCGGUGGACUGGCAUUCCUGUCACAAGGCUUGGCCAGAAUGAGAAGGAGAGGCUAAUCGGGCUUCCAGACAGGCUGCAUCAUAGAGUGGUAGGACAGGACCAAGCGGUCAAUGCUGUUGCAGAGGCUGUGCUGAGGUCAAGGGCUGGUUUAGGCAGGCCUCAACAGCCGACUGGCUCAUUCCUAUUCUUGGGUCCAACUGGUGUUGGCAAGACUGAGCUUGCCAAGGCUCUUGCUGAACAGCUAUUUGAUGAUGAAAACCAACUAGUGAGGAUCGAUAUGUCAGAGUACAUGGAGCAACACUCAGUAGCUCGACUUAUUGGUGCUCCUCCUGGGUAAGUACUUACUUUUCAUCUAUUUCUUUUUCUCUAUUCUAUAAGGUUGAGUAAAUAAUAUCUCACCCGUGUUUGUAUUUCAGGUAUGUGGGACAUGAGGAAGGUGGGCAGCUGACAGAGGCCGUGAGGCGGCGGCCUUAUAGCGUUGUUCUGUUUGAUGAAGUGGAGAAAGCUCACAUUUCUGUCUUUAAUACUCUUCUUCAAGUUCUUGAUGAUGGAAGGUUAACAGAUGGUCAAGGCCGCACUGUAGAUUUCAGAAACACAGUGAUUAUCAUGACUUCCAACCUUGGAGCGGAGCACCUUCUGUCUGGACUGCUGGGCAAGAGUUCCAUGCAAGUUGCUCGAGACAGAGUGAUGCAAGAGGUAAGCUUAAUGCUCCAUAAAUUCGGUCGUGCAGUCUUGAUGGGUUUUGUCGUAGGCUUGUUGCUUGAAGAAAGUUGAGAUAUCAACUUGCUGUCAUUUGUUGAUUUUUUCUGACAGGUGAGAAAGCAGUUCAGGCCUGAGUUACUAAACCGGCUUGAUGAGAUUGUGGUUUUUGAUCCACUCUCUCAUGACCAACUGAGAAAGGUUUCAAGGUUACAAAUGAAGGACGUUGCCAGCCGCCUUGCUGAGAGGGGCAUUGCUUUGGCAGUUACAGAUGCUGCCCUGGAUCAUAUUUUGGCAGAAAGCUAUGAUCCCGUGAGUGUUCUUACACCAUAUUCUGUCACUUGUUUUGUACUCUGUUUUGAUGAAGGAGCUCACGUCGUCUAUCUCUUGUUUUAGAUCUAUGGUGCACGACCCAUAAGGAGAUGGCUCGAGAGGAAGGUGGUCACAGAGCUAUCGAGAAUGCUCGUGAGAGAAGAGAUUGAUGAGAACUCUACUGUGUACAUAGAUGCAGGCCCAGAUGGACAGGACUUGGUUUAUCGUGUGGAGAAGAAUGGUGGGCUCGUUAAUGCAACCACUGGGCAGAAGACUGAUGUUUUGAUUCAAAUUCCCAAUGCCCCAAGGGAUGAUGCUGCCCAGAAAGUGAAAAAGAUGAGAAUUCAAGAGAUUGUUGACAAAGACGACGACGACGAGAUGAUUGAGUGAAUUGCUCGUGUUUCAAGGGUUGACAUGUUAAAUAACUUGUUUGCUUGAACAUGGAGUUCA